rnacentral:rRNA from 1 species
CCUACGGGAGGCAGCAGUGGGGAAUCUUGCGCAAUGGGCGAAAGCCUGACGCAGCCAUGCCGCGUGAAUGAUGAAGGUCUUAGGAUUGUAAAAUUCUUUCACCGGGGACGAUAAUGACGGUACCCGGAGAAGAAGCCCCGGCUAACUUCGUGCCAGCAGCCGCGGUAAUACGAAGGGGGCUAGCGUUGCUCGGAAUUACUGGGCGUAAAGGGAGCGUAGGCGGAUAGUUUAGUCAGAGGUGAAAGCCCAGGGCUCAACCUUGGAAUUGCCUUUGAUACUGGCUAUCUUGAGUAUGGGAGAGGUAUGCGGAACUCCGAGUGUAGAGGUGAAAUUCGUAGAUAUUCGGAAGAACACCAGUGGCGAAGGCGGCAUACUGGCCCAUUACUGACGCUGAGGCUCGAAAGCGUGGGGAGCAAACAGGAUUAGAUACCCUGGUAGUCCACGCUGUAAACGAUGAGUGCUAGUUGUCGGCAUGCAUGCAUGUCGGUGACGCAGCUAACGACAUUAAGACGACUCCGCCGUCGGGGAGGUACGGUCGGCGAAGAAGUUAAACGUUAACAAAUAGUUAAGUUAGUACGGCGUUGAGACGUUGCCGACGGACGACGACGAGGGGAGGUUAGG